GAUGAACUCUUUCUUCGUGCCUAAUACAUGCAAGUCGAGCGAACAGACGAGGAGCUUGCUCCUCUGACGUUAGCGGCGGACGGGUGAGUAACACGUGGAUAACCUACCUAUAAGACUGGGAUAACUUCGGGAAACCGGAGCUAAUACCGGAUAAUAUAUUGAACCGCAUGGUUCAAUAGUGAAAGACGGUUUUGCUGUCACUUAUAGAUGGAUCCGCGCCGCAUUAGCUAGUUGGUAAGGUAACGGCUUACCAAGGCAACGAUGCGUAGCCGACCUGAGAGGGUGAUCGGCCACACUGGAACUGAGACACGGUCCAGACUCCUACGGGAGGCAGCAGUAGGGAAUCUUCCGCAAUGGGCGAAAGCUUGACGGAGCAACGCCGCGUGAGUGAUGAAGGUCUUCGGAUCGUAAAACUCUGUUAUUAGGGAAGAACAAAUGUGUAAGUAACUAUGCACGUCUUGUCGGUACCUAAUCAGAAAGCCACGGCUAACUACGUG
rnacentral:rRNA from 1 species